CCAAGGUGGAUUUCCCCCUUUCCUGUGCUGGGCCAAAGCAUCCAAGUGACCUUUGAUUUUUUUUCUUUUUCUCUCUCCUUUUUUUUUUCCCUUUGGCCUUUUUUUGUUUUGUUUUGUUUUGUUUCUGACUCGCCAUAUGUGAGAUAAUUGUGCCCACAGGAAUUCCUUUCAGAGUGCCUAAGCACAAAAGAAAAACACCCGGCCAACUCUUUUUUCUAGGGCAGUACAAACAUUUCCUUAAACCUAAGUGUCUCGGGAGGGGCAUUGACAGAAGGCGCCUUUCACCCAGAAAGCCCGCCCUGCGCCGAGCUGCUGCUGAACCCUCAGCUGCCUCCUGCAUUUUGACGUCACUGCUGGAGUGAAAGUUUUGCCAACAAAAGCAGUCAUGUUCUUUGAUUCCAGCUUUAUGACAAUGGAAAGGAGGCCAGCGCCAAUCGCUCCACGGAGGUGGAAGAAAUGUGGCUGUGCAUCCCAGCACGUGAGCGAGUUUAUCAAAUACGAGGCAGCAGCCGGAACAACAGGAAAUCGCAUUAGAGAGUCCAACUUCUGGUUGGCAGAAGCACGUUAACCUCUCAUUCAUGUCACUGGGUUUAAUGCUCUAACUUUGUAGUAAAAGCGUCUUCCCCGAGCCCGGGUUCAUAAAAGUGUUAGUAGUCCUUGAUGUUCCCAGCAGAGGAUAGUAAGGAAAACACAGCCCUGAAUAGCUCACAUUGAUUGCAGCGAAUACAGAGCAGGAGGGUCAGCACCAUUUCCCAGCCCAGAGCCAGGGCUGCAGAACUGAGCAGCUAUUCAUAGCCACUGGACCCUCUCCAAGCCGAUGCAGUCGGAGCUAUUCCAUUUGGAAGAGUCUCCGUACGGCCUGGCCGCACGCGAAGCGGGAGCCAUGCGAAAGGAAGCUGAACAAGGAGUUUCGGGGACCUGGGUGUUCUUCGCUUGAUUUCCGACAGCCUGUUCUUUCCGGGGACCUGAGGGAUGGCAGGGCUGUGAGAAGAUGCGGGGCUGAAUUUCCAGCGCUGCCGACGAGGGGAGCUGGGCUGCCCUGCAGCAUCCCGGGAGGUCCCUGUCCCCCAAACUCCGGGAAGGACACGGCUUCGGGGUUCGGGUGGGAGCGAUCCCCGGGAAGCGAUGCCGGAAUGGGGGAAAAAAUAAAAUACAUAAAUUACAAAAGCGAGGUGCGAAAUUAGGACUCCAGCACGAGGCAGACGCUGCGAGCCCAAGAACUUGGGCAGGGGGUCCCGCCACUCUCACCUCUACCUUUAGCAGAGGGGAGCAUCGGGGGUCGCGGUAGAGAGCCAUGGAGCAGCCCCUGGGUGUGAGUGGGUGCGGGUGGGCACGCGUGGGGCCGGGUGCCAGAGCCAAAAGCACUUGCCGCGGUUUCUGCAAGGCUCCGAGCGCAAGCGGCGUUAGAAAAGAAAACACCCCGGGCCGAUAAACUCCCACCGAGCAACGCAGAGCAGAGCAGGCUUCCCGCUUCAGAAGUUCUCCCCGUGUAAAGAGGUAUUUCGGUUGUCUCCGAAAUAAUAAAUCCCAACAGCAGACAAUAAAAUUUACUAUC
rnacentral:lncRNA from 1 species